AGGGUUCGAUUCUGGCUCAGGAUGAACGCUAGCGGCAGGCUAACACAUGCAAGUCGAGGGGCAGCGGGAUGUAGCAAUACAUGCCGGCGACCGGCGGAUGGGUGCGUAACGCGUAUGCAACCUACCUUAUACAGGGGAAUAACCUUUCGAAAGGGAGACUAACACCCCAUAGUAUUGAUUUAAGGCAUCUUAGAUUAAUUAAAUAUUUAUAGGUAUAAGAUGGGCAUGCGUAUGAUUAGCUAGUUGGUAAGGUAACGGCUUACCAAGGCGACGAUCAUUAGGGGUUCUGAGAGGAAGGUCCCCCACACUGGUACUGAGACACGGACCAGACUCCUACGGGAGGCAGCAGUGAGGAAUAUUGGUCAAUGGGCGCAAGCCUGAACCAGCCAUGCCGCGUGCAAGGAAGACGGCCUUAUGGGUUGUAAACUGCUUUUACAUAAGACUAACCGUAUAUUUGCGAAUAUACCUGAAUGUAUUAUGAGAAUAAGGAUCGGCUAACUCCGUGCCAGCCGCUGC
rnacentral:rRNA from 1 species